AGAGUUUGAUUCUGGCUCAGGAUGAACGCUAGCGACAGGCUUAACACAUGCAAGUCGAGGGGCAGCAUAGAAGUAGCAAUACUUGGUGGCGACCGGCGCACGGGUGAGUAACGCGUAUGCAACCUACCUAUCAGAGGGGAAUAACCCGGCGAAAGUCGGACUAAUACCGCAUAAAACAGGGGCACCGCAUGGUGAUAUUUGUUAAAGAAAUUCGCUGAUAGAUGGGCAUGCGUUCCAUUAGGUAGUUGGUGAGGUAACGGCUCACCAAGCCGACGAUGGAUAGGGGAACUGAGAGGUUGGUCCCCCACACUGGUACUGAGACACGGACCAGACUCCUACGGGAGGCAGCAGUGAGGAAUAUUGGUCAAUGGGCGGGAGCCUGAACCAGCCAAGUCGCGUGAAAGGAAGAAGGAUCUAUGGUUCGUAAACUUCUUUUGCAGGGGAAUAAAGUGCAGGACGUGUCCUGUUUUGUAUGUACCCUGAGAAUAAGGAUCGGCUAACUCCGUGCCAGCAGCGGC
rnacentral:rRNA from 1 species